UACGAAGGGGGCUAGCGUUGUUCGGAAUUACUGGGCGUAAAGCGCACGUAGGCGGAUACUUAAGUUAGGGGUGAAAUCCCAGAGCUCAACUCUGGAACUGCCUCUAAUACUGGGCAUCUCGAGUCCGGAAGAGGUGAGUGGAAUUCCGAGUGUAGAGGUGAAAUUCGUAGAUAUUCGGAGGAACACCAGUGGCGAAGGCAGCUCGCUGGGACGGUACUGACGCUGAGGCGCGAAAGCGUGGGGAGCGAACAGG
rnacentral:rRNA from 1 species